rnacentral:rRNA from 1 species
CCUACGGGAGGCAGCAGUGAGGAAUAUUGGUCAAUGGACGAGAGUCUGAACCAGCCAAGUAGCGUGAAGGAUGACUGCCCUAUGGGUUGUAAACUUCUUUUAUAAAGGAAUAAAACGAGGCACGUGUGCCUUGUUGCAUGUACUUUAUGAAUACGGAUAGGCUAACUACGUGCCAGCAGCCGCGGUAAUACGGAGGAUCCGAGCGUUAUCCGGAUUUAUUGGGUGUAAAGGGAGCGUAGAUGGGUUGGUAAGUCAGUUGUGAAAGUUUGCGGCUCAACCGUAAAAUUGCAAUUGAUACUGGCAGUCUUGAGUGCAGGUGAGGUAGGCGGAAUUCGUGGUGUAGCGGUGAAAUGCUUAGAUAUCACGAAGAACCCCGAUUGCGAAGGCAGCUUACUAGACUGUAACUGACAUUGAUGCUCGAAAGUGUGGGUAUCAAACAGGAUUAGAUACCCUUGUAGUC